CCCUCCGCCCGGCCCCCUCCCGCCGGCCGGCGGGGGCAACGGCCGAGGGGCGGGUUCCCGCUGCGGGGAGGGGGAGGCCGGGCUGGAUGGCCCCGUAGCAGUGCGAGGAUCCGGUCCUGGGAAGCGCGCCGCUCGGGUGCUCCAACGCCGAACGCGGUGCUGGCGUUCACGUAGCUGUUUGCUGUAACGAAACAGGUCUGGCCCGACGGAGAUAACGCCUGUCCCAGCGGCGAUUCGCUCUUCCUGCAAGCUGCAGCGCGCUGUCGGAGUUACGGGCUGUUCUCAAAUGCUUUCUUACUGAAAUGCAAGCACCUUUACUGCAUGGGGGCUGAUUGUGUAAGCCUGAUAAAAUUACUGGUCUACCUAUAAAUGAAACUGGAUAACCGAGAGGAGCAUGAACAUCAGCAAUAAUCCUGGGCUGUCGGCACUUGGGUAACCAUUCUGGGUAUUUGGUUUGCUUUAUCUGCAGUCGCACUCAUUAAAAGAUGUGUGGUCUCCA